CUGGGCUUCUACCCCAGUCUCCAUGAUGGCCCUCAGCCUUAAUUAGCAGCCUCCUGCAAAAUGAAACAAUGUGCUUGUUCCAAAGGGUAAGAUAAAGGUCCUGACAGCUGCCCCUCACUUCCAAUCAGAUGUGGUCCUCAAAUCCCUGCAUAGAGAAACUCACCGAAACAGCACAGAGAAACACACAGACAUACUCACAAAGCAUACAGAGACAUACCCAGAUAGGUACGACACACACACACACACACACACACACACACACACACACACACACGGUUGGAGGUUCUGCUUGGAGUCACACGGCACACAAGAUUGCUGUCAAGAAAGCCUGUCCAUAAAUAGUGGCUGUACACCCUCCUCACUUACAAUUCAGGGAAAAGAAGAGCGGGGAAGGAAAGGAGGAAAAACAACAACAACAAAAGCCACGACAGAGAACGGGAAAAGGCAGAGACUGAAAGCGAAGGACCGUCGGAGGAGGAGGGCGAGAGGUCUGGAGAGGAGGGCUCGCCGGAGGAGGCGGGCGGGGCGGGCUGUGCGGAGGGUGCGGCCAGCGCGGUACCCGCCCCGGCGAGGCGCUGGGGAGGCCCGGGUGGGGAGAAGAAAUGGGGCCUGGGGGACGGUAGGAGCCUCCGUGCGGAGACCACUGUUCAAGGCCACAGACAUUUAUGCAGUGUGUGAUUCUUUCUAAAACAACUCCCUGGAAGAGAGGACAUUUAAUUCAACAAUUUAUUGGCCACCUACUGUGCACCAGGCAGUGAACUUGGAACUGGGGCUACUGGGUUACAGCAGUGACCAAGACAGAGGUCCCUGUUCUUAAGGAGCAAGUGAGGGCAACAGAAAAGAGCAGUCAGCUGUCAUGCGAGGGCACUCAAGCAGCCCUGUGGAAAGCUCUACGUGGUGAGAAACUGAAGCCUCCUGCCAACACCAACAAGGAACUGAGACCUACUUCCAACAGCCAUCUGAGUGAUCGAUCCAUCCUGGAAUCAGAUCCUCCAGCCCCAGUCAAGUCUUCAGAUGACUGCAGCCCUGACCAGCAUCUCAACUGCAACCUCGUGAAUGACCCUGAGCCAGAACCAUGCAACUAAACUCUGCGUGGAUUCAUGACCCACAGAAACUGUGAGAUGGUAGCUGUUUGCUUUGUUAAGCCUCUAAGUCUGGAAAGAAUGUCUUAAGCAGUAGCAGACAAUGAACACAAGAUUAUUAUUCAGCUGUUGAAUUGGAA
rnacentral:lncRNA from 1 species